UACAGAGGGUGCGAGCGUUGUCCGGAAUCACUGGGCGUAAAGGGCGCGUAGGCGGUCUCUUAAGCGUGUGGUGAAAGCCCGGGGCUCAACUCCGAGUCGGCCGUGCGAACUGGGCUCACUGGAGCAUAGUAGAGGCAGGUGGAAUUCCGGGUGUAGCGGUGGAAUGCGUAGAGAUCCGGAAGAACACCGGUGGCGAAGGCGGCCUGCUGGGCUAUGGCUGACACUGAGGCGCGACAGCGUGGGGAGCAAACAGG
rnacentral:rRNA from 1 species